GGCAAACCGGGACGGCACCGGUAAAAGUGCGCGGCGCACCUGGGCGGCACCUGCCGGCAUGGGUUCGAGCAGGCUGGCGGCUUGUGUCAGACGCGACAGCGCCUCGGCGUCGUCACUGUCUCGCGCCCGCUGCGCCAGAUCUGACGCUUCGGCCGGGUCAUAGACGAGGGCGCGCAAAAACAGCGGGAGAAUUUCUUCAUAGCCUUGGAGGGCGGGCGUGCCGUCGAGGCGCACCGCUUCGGCGGCGCCGGGGUCGAGCACCGACGCGCCCGAGGGCGUCGAGGCAACGGCCACCGUCUCCGCGCUGUCGUCCACCUGAAUGCGAAAGAGCGCCGCCUUGUCCAUGGCGUCGUUCUGGACCGCCACAAUAUAGUAGGUGGCCUCGGGGUCGCACCCGCCGACAAAGGCUGGGUCGGUGGCGUCGAGCACGUCGUACCACGCCACGGGAAAGGGCUCGAUCGAGCCCUCAAAGUCGCCCGGCGCCAACUGCGCGAUCUUUUCCGCGCGCUGCGCCGCCCUGCCGACGGCCAGGGCCAGAUUGUAGGCGGCCGCGACGGGAUCGUCGACGGCCUCUAGGUCGAGCGCGCGCACGUGCUCAUAGGCGCUCUCGGGAUCAAGCGCUGCAUAGGCGCGCUGGACGUCGACAAAGGUGGGCGGCCAGGCUGUAGCGUGGCGUCGCACGGCCGCGACGCCCGCAGGAUUUGUGUCGAGCGUGCGCCACAGCGCAAUGUAGGCACGCAACGGCACGGCGCACUCGGUCUCGUCGGCAGUCGACAGGCGCGCCCUCGCCGUGCCGCCGCCCAUGGCGCCUCGGGUCAGCCGCAGGGCCUCGCGGAGAUCGGCCAGAUUAGCCGUACCGUCGGCCAGACGACCGCACAGGUCGGCGACAAUGGCGAGAUCCCUGCGCGCAUUCCACGGCGCGGCAGUCGUCUCUGCCUCGCCGGGUCUGGCCUGCUUGCGCACGGGCGACGACGCACCGGGGGAGACCCGCGGCGCGCCGUCGUCGCUGCCACUUUCGGAAAGGCGCCGCUUCAUCUUUUUUUUUCUCAAGAGAAAUAAAAAUGAAAUCAAAUAGAUCAAUGGACUCGCGUGGUCCUGUUUCCUAGGCAGAGGCGAAAACAGCGCCAAGGCGACUCUCUUUUUUUUCCUCUACGUGGCGCUCGUGCCCAAAACCCCAACACCAA
rnacentral:lncRNA from 1 species